AGGAUCAUUACAGAAUGAAAAGUGCUUAACUGCAUUUUUUCUUACACAUGUGUUUUUCUUUUUUUGAAAACUUUGCUUUGGUAGGCCUUCUAUAUGGGGCCUGCCAGAGAUUAAACUCAACCAAAUUUUAUUUAAUGUCAACCGAUUAUUUAAUAGUCAAAACUUUCAACAACGGAUCUCUUGGUUCUCGCAUCGAUGAAGAACGCAGCGAAAUGCGAUAAGUAAUAUGAAUUGCAGAUAUUCGUGAAUCAUCGAAUCUUUGAACGCACAUUGCGCCCUUUGGUAUUCCAAAGGGCAUGCCUGUUUGAGCGUCAUUUCUCCCUCAAACCCUCGGGUUUGGUGUUGAGCGAUACGCUGGGUUUGCUUGAAAGAAAGGCGGAGUAUAAACUAAUGGAUAGGUUUUUUCCACUCAUUGGUACAAACUCCAAAACUUCUUCCAAAUUCGACCUCAAAUCAGGUAGGACUACCCGCUGAACUUAA
rnacentral:misc_RNA from 1 species